rnacentral:rRNA from 1 species
UACGUAGGGUGCAAGCGUUAAUCGGAAUUACUGGGCGUAAAGCGUGCGCAGGCGGUUGUGCAAGACAGAUGUGAAAUCCCCGGGCUUAACCUGGGAACUGCAUUUGUGACUGCACAGCUGGAGUGCGGCAGAGGGGGAUGGAAUUCCGCGUGUAGCAGUGAAAUGCGUAGAUAUGCGGAGGAACACCGAUGGCGAAGGCAAUCCCCUGGGCCUGCACUGACGCUCAUGCACGAAAGCGUGGGGAGCGAACAGG